rnacentral:misc_RNA from 1 species
AAAUGCGAUAAGUAGUGUGAAUUGCAGAAUUCAGUGAAUCAUCGAAUCUUUGAACACACAUUGCGCCCUUUGGUAUUCCUUAGGGCAUGCCUGUUCGAGCGUCAUCUAAACCUUCAAGCCCUGCUUGGUGUUGGGUGCCUGUCCCGCCUCCGCGCGCGGACUCACCUCAAAUCCAUUGGCGGCCCCCGCGUCGGCCACGAGCGCAGCAGAAACGCGAACUCGUGAGCCCGUCCGGGCGGCUCCCAGAAGCUACACCCACCCAGUUUGACCUCGGAUCAGGUAGGGAUACCCGCUGAACUUAAGC